GCCAGCUAUGUGAACAACAAAGAUUUUUUUAUCUCACUAAGGAAGAACAUUGGUUCUGAAAUUGGUAGUACCACUGUAUUAAUAUGUUGCCACAGUUGCUGUCUUAAAACAUUUUAAAACUAGAAUGAUAGAAGUUGCACUUUUAAUAGUUGGAAAUGUCUUUAGUUCAUGUCAUUUAGAUUCUUCUAAUUUUUCCAUGUUUCUAGUUUCACAGGAAAGCGAGUGACCUCGCACCUAUAUCCAUAGCAACCCAGUGAUGUCACACACAAUGACACAGAGGCUGCAAUGCACCUAAGGGCUGGUAGGGAGUAUGCAAAUGGCAUUUGUCCAAGCAUUUGGAAAAUACAGGAAGAUAUAAAGAAAAGACUCAAUCCUGCCACUCCAGUGAGCUCUCUGAAAUUGCCUUGCUGAUAGAGGGAUAAAACUUACGGCUCUUCAGGAGGCUAGAUCAAUAGCCAUUAUCGCUAAUGGAGUAAUACCUCUGAAGACUCUUCAGAGGUGGACUUCUGCCAGCCAUUAUUCUGAGUCAUGUGGUUUCAAUUGUUCUUUGGGGUGGAAAGAAUACAGACAACAUUUUGCUUUCUAUGUGUUGUCCUUCAUGAUAACUGAAAUGAAUAUUAACUGCUUUCUGUAAUUAUUAAAAAUCUCGUAUGUAUCUUUUUUAAUUAGUCGUUUGGAUAACUGCCAACAUUGGGGAGGAUUUUGUCCCUUAGUAGUUGGGGGAAGCCUUAUUUAUUACAUCAAACUCUAAUUUAUUUAAAAGAGUGGAAAAAAUGACCUUGCUUUUAUUGAGAUAAAAGUCACAUAACAUAAAGUGUACAAUUCAGUAGCAUUUAGUAUAUUCACGAUGUUGGGAAAAAAUGAGGAAACGAUAUCUUUAAAAAGUGAUAAUGGUCUGGCUAUAGCUGGCUGGAUUAUAAAACAUAACCAAUUCAAGAAUGUGUCAGUAAUGGAGGGCCCACAACAGCGUAGCCAGUGGUAAUCAGUAUCUCUUUGUUUUCUAACUUCUGAACCAUUUCAGCGUACAUUUUAAAAAAGGACUUAGCUAGGUUUGUAUUUCCAUUCAAGUUAUAGAGCUUAAAAACCAUACGACGUUCACCCAAAUAAAUAAGAACAAUUUACCUAAAAUCAGAGCAAGCUAUUCACUAUUUGGAGAUUACGGAAAUGGUGCUGGUGUUCAUUGUACACCUCGUUUUCCACCAAGGCUGACUUUGGUAAAAAUGGUUUCCCUGCUGUGUGGCAGCAGUCCCCUGAGGAACACUGUGCAGUCCUGAGAGCUGUGAGCUAUUCACACAUGGAAUUCUAAACUGAUGGGAUUCCCUUCAAUAAGAGAUGAAAUACAUUGUUUUGGUGCUUCUGAAGCCAUCAGGAGCUUCUCACCCCAUGUCACUAACCCUAACCCUUUUAUCUGGCAGGACAUCUGAUUAUUUCUAUAUUCCCUACCAGAUUCCAUGGGAUGUGAAAGAAAAACAAAGACCACUUUGCAUGUUUAAUAGUCAAGGGGGGGGAAUCACAUAUAAACCACUAUCUUUUUGUCGUAUUUUCUAAGCUCUGUUUCUUAGUGCUUGACCAGAUAUUUGAGACUGUAAUUUUGGGGGGCUGUAUUUGUUGUCUUCGUAGGUUUUAAAGUCUGCCAACCAGUACCAGCUGCCUUAGGACCUUUCAUAAUCUUUUUCUGUUGUCCCCCAAAUCCCAUUUUAGAUAUUAGCUAUUAUUUUGGUUCACUAGCAAACCAUAUCAUCUUACUUUAAAUUGGUACUUGUAGAGAUACUUGAAAUUUUGAUUUUACUAAUCUAUGAGUUUGAGUAGUAAAAAAGUAGUUACAGGAAAAGUGAUAAAGAAAAAUUCCCAAAAGAAAGCUUUAAUUUUAAGAUAAAUGGUUAAAUAACUGGUUU